CACACGUGCUACAAUGGCGCAUACAAAGAGAAGCGACCUCGCGAGAGCAAGCGGACCUCAUAAAGUGCGUCGUAGUCCGGAUUGGAGUCUGCAACUCGACUCCAUGAAGUCGGAAUCGCUAGUAAUCGUGGAUCAGAAUGCCACGGUGAAUACGUUCCCGGGCCUU
rnacentral:rRNA from 1 species